UACGUAGGGGGCAAGCGUUGUCCGGAAUCAUUGGGCGUAAAGAGCGUGUAGGCGGCUCGAUAAGUCUGCUGUGAAAGUCCAGGGCUCAACCCUGGAAGGCCGGUGGAAACUGUCGGGCUAGAGUCCGGAAGAGGCGAGUGGAAUUCCCGGUGUAGCGGUGAAAUGCGCAGAUAUCGGGAGGAACACCUGUGGCGAAAGCGGCGCACUGGACCACAACUGACGCUGAGGCGCGAAAGCUAGGGGAGCAAACGGG
rnacentral:rRNA from 1 species